rnacentral:lncRNA from 1 species
UUCAUACGGCGUUCUUCCUUAGCACGGCAGUGUGGAGGAAGGAAUUAUUAUCAUCAAAAAAAGAAAAGAAAGGUGGGAAAAAUUGGAAUAUUUAAUCGCAGGUCCAUUCGGCACGUGAGGAUCCGCGACCGCGGACAGCGGUGAACGUUGUGACUGUGGCGAAAAAAUGGCGAAAACGGCAACAGUGCAAGGAAAAACACCGGACUGUGAAAAAGAAUUGCUCCGGGGUGAAUAGUGUCGGCGUUUGUCAGAAGGACAUCAAUGACAACGAGAUGGACAAACCAGCACCGCCCAGGACAUCGCCGAACCCGGCCAACAUCGCCAACGACAGAGAGGCCGGUCAGACCCGAAAGACCAGACUAAAAACUAGACAGAUCCGCACGAAGGCGAACCUACCAGCGAUAACCGUGGGUGAAGACUACCCGGACAGCACGACGAGCCGGGCGACCUGCAGCGAGGACAACGUGCGGGUCCAACCGCGACGGACCUUCAACUACGGCCAGAAGAAGAGCUCUAUGUCGGACUUCUGGGUGUGGGGCAAUGGGCGGGACUGGUCCUGCCCCAAGGCCAAGGAGGGCGACUGGGUGAGGGCCUACCCGCACUCUCCGAGGGACGCCCGUCGCCCUGACCUCCGGGACACCAACGCCGGCAGCCUCUUCUUCAACGACCGCGAGAUCCGGCCCGUCGUCACCGCCGUCGGCAGGUACCUCAAGGUCGCCAAGGAGGUCUUCGCCAAGAACCACCACAUGUCCGACGAGGUCCUCAAUAAUAUGCUGCUUAACAAUUUAGGGAUUCAUGGCGACGUCUGGCUACCGCCCUCCUGAAUGGUUGAUCAUGUCUUCAGAUCAUUCUUUUAGGAAUGGACCACUAGACAAGGUACGAAAUUCAGCAUUUUGAUACAUGUUUUCACCAAAAUUUUACGUAGAACACGAUGCGCACAACGAAAAUUACCGAAAUCAAUACCUUACGAAGAUAUUUAAUGAUUUUAAUACGUGAAUUCAAACCACUCGCUCACGAAAACUCAAUGCUCUACGUGAUUCACAGCGCGCGCUAAACGUUAUCAUGAACGUCUCUGCGAUAAAAAAUUCUGGCAACCUCAAUCUUGACACUUUGGCUCAGAUAUAGCAAAUUACUUAUAGUUUGAAAAACACAUGUUGAGAAAAGAACAUUGCUCGAUUGAGAAGCUUGCUGAAACCGUUAUAGGUAGUGCGCGAUUUGACUCACGUAGAGCUUUGAGUUUCUUGUGCGCGGGCAGUUCAAAUUCCUCGUAACCAAUGUGUAAUAAAAACAUUAAUAUCUUCGUUAAGGGUUGGUUUCAGUAAUUUCCGCUGUAUGAAUCGUGUUUUACGUGAAAUUUUGGUUAAGAAACAUGUCGGUAUCAGGUUGCUUAAAUUCUUACCUUGUCUAGUGGUUCAUUCUAAGUGAUCAAGCAUAGGCGGAUCCCAGUGGCGUGGCGCGCUUUGAAAUAUAUCGAUUGAUUUGCCAUUUAAACCUAUCGGAAAGGAUCGGUAGACAGGGUGUUUGCAGCGAACACCUUAAGAAUCGAUUCUUUAUACCAUACCUACAAAUGGAGAAAUAUCGAUAAUCGAUCAUUUACGCCUUGCCACUGGCGGACCUAGACACCUCAAACGGCGAGGGGGGGGGGGAGAAUAGGGUGCGGAGACCUCCCCGGAAUAUUUACGAAUUUUUGCAAUCAGUCUGAGUCAAUUUCAUCAUGAAUAGUUACCGAAUGUAAGCGUCUUUCCAUCUUCUUUCCCGCGUUCCUUCCUUCUUUCCUCCGGCUCUCUCUCCUUUUUUCCUUCUCUUUUCCUUCCUUUUUCCCCGAGGGAACAAAAAAGGCGUGCGCCCCCUAUGCCUCCCCCCUCUGGAUCCGCUUAUGAGAUCUAGAUCCACCACUAUGUUGCACUGCUACAUGGUCUGUUUUUGAGGAGCAAUAAUAGAGAAUUUUCACGCAACAAUUCUAUUGCCUCACUCGAGAGUGCUUGGUUCGCUAAGUUCGCAGUAUUUUUUAGAAUUUUUUUCUCAAAUGAGAAAUUUUAUAAAAAUAGAUUGAAAACUGAGAAAAUGCAUUUCCCUAUUGUGACGUAAUCAGGCAGCAUUGCCCGUCUAAAGACACACGGAAAAAAAACACGAGGUUGUUGGAUGAUAUGGACAUUUCCAAUUAACUGUGGUGGUGCCCCAAUUAAUUAUGGCAGUACCCCAAUUAAUUGUGGCGGUACUCCAAUAAAUUAGGUAACUAACCCAAAUAUUGCGGUACCACCCUAACUUGAGUUGCGGUACUACCACAAUUAAUUAGAAAUGUCCAUAUCAUCCAACAAAUUGGGGUAGUACCACAAUUUUAGGGGAAAGCCCCCGACACUUUUUUCCGUGCAUGGGUUUUAUGCUUGAAAUGUAGCAGCACCAAUACUGAGUAGUAGGACAUUAAAUUCAUGAGAAUUCGUUGCAAAUUGAUAAACAAUUACAAAAACGAACUUGAUUCCCUUAGUCUCGGACUGGUAUUUUUUAGAGCUCAAAAAUAUUUUGGCUCUAUAAUAAUUGAACUUUUUGGCUUUGUUUUCCCCGCGAAAUGGUGUGGACCCAGCACCAUUUCACCACCUUGUUACAUACAGUUCGGGUCAUUUCUUAGUUUUGUUCUUGUACAAUGAUUCAAUGUGUAAGAUAGAGAUAGCAUAAUAUCUCUCUUUCUUACACAUCGGGGGUUCAAUGAUCGAAGUCAGUUUCCGUAAUUUUCGUAAUCAAUUUUCAACAAAUCUUCAUACAUUUAAUUUCAUACCAAUCAAUAUACCGGUACACGCUAUUGGUCAAUAUACAUCCAUAUGAGUCGCUUUUAUAGCGCUCUUUGGCGCUUUACGACGCCUAAUCGCCACAAAGCUCGGUCUUCCCACAGGUCAUCAGGGAGUUGACACUCCCUCAUCUCAUUUAACACCCCCUGUCGCCAACCUCUCACUGGGUGUCCCCUACGUCUCCUCCCAGGAGGAACCCAAUCAAGCAUCUUUUUUGGCAGCCUCUCUUCCGUCAUCCUAUGACAUGACCGUACCAGACAAGCUGUUUGGUCAUGAGGUCGAACACAAUUAUUGGUCAAUAUCUAAAAUUAAUUUUUGCUUUACCAUGAUUAUUGCUUCUUGAAGACAUAAACCGUCAGUGGCGUGGCGUGCUUUGCGAUAUAUCGAUUGAUUUACCAUAUAAACCCAUGGAAAUGAAUCGAUAAAUGGUGUGUUCGCAGCGAACACCUUGAUAAUCGAUUCUUUACCAUGGCUUCAAAUGGGAAAAUAUCGAUAAUCGAUCAUUCACGCCACGCCACUGUAAACCGUGUAGCAGCGCAACGUAGUGACUGAUCUCGUCCCUAGAUUCUUUAGAAUCACCUUGCCAGGAGCGAGUUGACAAUUUUCUCAUCAUAAUUCAUGUAUAAUCGAAAGUGUCUUUCAUUAAUAAUGUGCGACACCCUCGGUAGGUCAAGAGGUCCCUGUCAAGUGCUGAGCCGAGGGAACUGGAGUUUCAAGUCAAACCUUGCGUAAGGUUGGGAACGCUUAUCGUAGUUUGAACAUUUAAUAAGCAGAAGGGAUAAAAAAGUAGAAUUUAAAUUUUUAACGUUUUCUUUCCCCAGAAAUUAGAUGGAAGGGUGUUCUCAGCAAAAUUUAAUUUGUAGAAAGGGGGAGGGUAUCAAAAAUCGAAUCCAUUGCUUGACAUCUACUUUUAUACGAACCUCUCCUAACAGAUCUUUGAUGAUGAGGUUGUGAAUUUGGUGACCGGUGUUAGGGAUGAAAGCCAAAAAAUGUAAUUUGCAGCUAGUUGGAGGUUAGGAGCUUUUCCAUAACAACCCUUACUCUUUAGGUCCAGUUACACGAUCAAAUUGAGCCAUCAAAUUGGGCCUCUCAUCGGCCGCAUCCUCACCUCAGGUCUUUUUCCACCAAUCAGAGCUUCAGUUUGAUGGCUCAAUUUGAUAGUGUAACUGAACCUUUAGAUCCGAAUAGUGAGAUACGGAGGGUUAAAGAGGUGAGUCAAAUAAUAUUGAAGGUAGCUACUAGUGAAUCAUAGCAGAAAAUUUAAGAUGAGUGUUUUCCAAAUUUAACGACCCUCUGUCAACAUAGCGAUAGAUAAAUUGAUGACAUAUGAACUGAUUGUGCGAGUUUCAGUCUAAUUAUUGAUGGAGGCAUCUAUUUUUGGUUAACUGAGCUUAUCAAUUCGUACCAAAUGCAAUGACAGCGGUUUUUGAUAGCCGUAAAAUCUAUCGUUUCAAUUCAAUUUUCUGAGAAGGGCUACUAAAAUUUUGCUGUCACUCCGACACACCCAAUCAUUCAUUAUACAUUGUUGUCGAAACAUAAGCUGCUCCUUACGUAACUUGGUCUUAAUAUGCCACUUUCAGUAGAAUAUGUAUUGAAGAAUAAACUUCAUGAGAAUGUUGUCUCAUUUUAAUUUUUGUGUUAGGAAGAUUAAAAUUGUAAAUUCUUUUGGUUUUCUUUAUCAGCCGUACCUAAUUUUCAUCCUCUCGGACAGUUUUUCAUAGAACCGAAAAAUUAAUAAAAUUAAGCUUUGUCUGUGAUUCUAAAACCACUAUUUUCUGUCUAGCGUCACAUUGCCUUGUUUGUUAAUCGCCUAAGACCAAAGUCAGCUUCACAUGAUUUGGUAACCUAACCAUCUUCACGUUUGCCUUGGUUUUACUGUAAAACAACGCUUAUGGCUUUUACAGAAUGUUCGUUUAUAAUAAUUAUCUAUUUAAAAUUCUGACGAAAUGAAGUCAUUAAAAUACUGGAAUAAAUAAAAAAGCAAGAUGCUUAUAUUCUUGCUGUACUCAGAAUACAUUAAAAAAUCAUCCUCUUCAAUAUAUUUCUAUUAUUUUGAUUUUGCAAUACUGUUCAUCCUAGAAAAAUUGUUUUUGAAGCAUCAUAUUUUACAAUUAACAGGUUUCGUCAUGCCUAUUUCCUUCUAUUACACUCGCCUAGUUUUACUGAAAAGAAUUAACUUUGAGGAAAGUAUUUUUAACGUAAAAUUACUGUGGUUCUGGAUGCAUGUCAUUAUCACACUGCCUUACAACUAAGUUGUCCGUUCUUCAUACUAUAAUUAAUUCAUUGAAUUCCUUUAAUGUAUCAUCAGACCUCAAAUUUUUAAGUGUAAAAUCUGAGGAAUAUUUUAAUAGACACUUGUGUUCCUACACUAGAAAAAUUAAAUGAUCUUGUAUUAAUUCUCACCCCAAUUCUAGUACUAGUUUAUUAUCUUAUCCCACUAAGAAUUUGUUCUAUAAUUUAAAAUUUUUCGGAAUCCUUCAUUGCCUUUUAAACGUUUUUCUCGUGUUUUGUUUUUAGUUUUUUCCAGAG